GGGGGCGAAACGGCUUCGACGGGGAUAAGGAAGCUUAAGUCGCAUACCGAGGUUCUAUCUGCUCGUAAAACAGGUGGAGAUAACAUAAACGCAGACGAUUAUUCGUAUGCUUUAGCCGCUUAAAGGCUAACGGCCUGUCAAUCACUCCUGCGAGAUUGAUAAGGUCGUCGACUCAGCGGGAUAGCUUCUCCGCUAUACCUAUGAGCGGAGAGGUGAAACUUUUAAUAGGUUAGUCCCUUGGCAACCGCGCCUGAUAGGGAACCAAGGGACGAAACACAAAUAUCGGGCUAUGUAUGUAGAAGCUUAAGCGGAAUAUUUUCGGACGGGGGUUCGACUCCCCCCGCCUCCACCA
rnacentral:tmRNA from 1 species